rnacentral:rRNA from 1 species
GGGGAAUUUUCCGCAAUGGGCGAAAGCCUGACGGAGCAAUACCGCGUGGGGGAAGAAGGUUCUUGGAUUGUAAACCCCUUUUCUCAGGGAAGAAAAAAAUGACGGUACCUGAGGAAUAAGCAUCGGCUAACUCCGUGCCAGCAGCCGCGGUAAUACGGAGGAUGCAAGCGUUAUCCGGAAUGAUUGGGCGUAAAGAGUCCGUAGGUGGUCUUUCAAGUCUACUGUUAAAGCGUUCAGCUUAACUGGAUAAGGGCGGUGGAAACUGAAAGACUAGAGUGCGUUCGGGGUAAAGGGAAUUCCUGGUGUAGCGGUGAAAUGCGUAGAUAUCAGGAAGAACACCGGUGGCGAAAGCGCUUUGCUAGGCCGCAACUGACACUGAGGGACGAAAGCUAGGGGAGCGAAUGGGAUUAGAUACCCC